rnacentral:rRNA from 1 species
CACGUAGGGUGCGAGCGUUGUCCGGAAUUACUGGGCGUAAAGCGCGCGCAGGCGGCUCUUUAAGUCUCGUGGUCAAAUGCCGGGGCUCAACCCCGAGCGUGCCGGGGAUACUGGAGGGCUGGAGACAGGUAGAGGCAAGCGGAAUUCCGGGUGUAGCGGUGGAAUGCGUAGAGAUCCGGAAGAACACCGGAGGCGAAGGCGGCUUGCUGGACCUGGUCUGACGCUGAGGCGCGAAAGCGUGGGGAGCGAACAGG